rnacentral:lncRNA from 1 species
ACAGUCCCAACCACAAGAAAACAACUAACAAAACAAGAUAUCACCACAAAGCUUUAAACACUUGCGACCGAUUAACACUAGACAAUGCCAAUGAGAAAGCCAUGUCAUUGCCAUUCCAAUCCGUUAAAGAGAAGACGACAGAUCCGACUUUAAGCUUAACAUUUUCAAUCUUUGAAAAAAUUGCAUGAAGUGACCAAGGUCUCAAAAAAAUUUUAAUACACCAAGAAAACGCCACCGGAGAACCUAAUUCAAUAAAUAAAGAAUCAUUAGUCUUCCAAUUCAUAGAUAAAAAGAAUUCAAGGCAAUCUUCACCGCACCAAUUUCAACUUCCUCAACAACAUUUAUAUGAACAGCACCAGAGAAUAUCCUUUUUGCAAUCCUCUCCAUAUCUCUCAAAACUCCUCCACACCCUACUUUGUCCUCUUUCCUGAUUCCACACACAUUGAAUUUUAACCAACCAAGAGGAGGGGGCUUCGAAAAAGAAGCAACAUAUUUAGAUUUAUAGGGCACAACUUGACAUAUUUGUGGAGAGAUCCACCAAAAAUUCUGUUGCAUCAUGAUUUCAUUAUGAACUGAUCUAAUCAACAACAAAGCCCUCAUCUUAGAUUGAAACACCAAAUUUUCCAUAUGUACUCUCCUUCCAUAAAAAACUAGCCCAUUUCUUGCUAACCAUAUUGUCCAACAUGCUGCUGUAAUAGAAAUCAACCAUAAGAUUUUCUUACUUUCAGCCAUUUUCACAUUAUUACAUAAAGCGAUGUAAUCCAUAACACCAUCGACCUUCUUCCAAACAACAUCCCACCAAUUGAAGAUUUUAGCCCAAAGGCCUUCGAUAAAUCUUCAUUUAAAGAAUAGGUGUGAUGCACUUUCUGUUUCUCCUUCGCACCAAGGGCAGCUUAUUGAAAAAUUUUGAGUGUUCACUCCUCUUUUAGCCAGAAAUUCCUUAGAUGGAAUUCUGUCAAUCGCGAACAUCCAAAGAAAACUACGAACUCUAGGGGGAACCUUAAUAUUCCAAACUCUACCGCAAGUAAAAUUAACGUCCGCUUCAUCAUCCAACAUCAAUAAAUCCGAACAUUUUUUUAACCAAGAAUACCCUACAUUUAUCAUUAACCCAACACAACCUAUCCUCUACUUCCGAUAACAACACCGUGCCACUUACCUUAUCAACCAUAUCUUUGCACAUCCUCUUCUCCCUACCCAACAAAGGUCUAGAAAACCAGCCUUCCUAAUUAACACUACCAUUCCCUAAAUAACUUAAAGAAUCGGCUAUACUACUUACUUUAUUUUUAGCAAGGCGGAAGAGCCUUAGUAACAACAAUUUCAAUGGUUGAUUCCCACACCAAAUGUCCCACCAAAACAAAGUCGACUUACCAUUCCCUAUCUUCCAACAGAAAGAUUCCGACCUCACCCAUUUGGACACUUUAGCAUCUUUAGCAUUUUCAACUAUAUCUCUCUGAAUAGUUGGCAUAUCUUUUUGAUAAGUUAUCUUAAACGGCCAUUGUUGAACAUUUGGCCCGUAUUUAGCUAAAAUAAUCUUUUGCCAUAACGCCUCUUUUUCUAUCGCGAAUCUCCAGCUCCAUUUAGCUGAUAAAGUUUUAUUUUAACACCUAGAUUUGCCACACCUGCCCCACCCUUAUCCUUUGGCUUACAGACAGUAUUCCAUCUAAUUCUCAAUAUCUUCUUUUUCCCAUCCAAAUUCCCCAUAGGAAAUUCCUUCUAAUCUUGUUGAUCUUUUUAAUAAAGUGACCGGAGCUUGGAAUAGAGACAUGAAGUAUAUCAACAACGAAGACAACACCGCAUUUAUAAGAACGACCUUACCAACCCAUGUAAGUGAACGACAUUUCCAUCCUAAUAACUUCAUCUUGACUUUGUCUAUGAUGGGUUCUGAUGUAGCUAUUCUUUUCGGGUUUGCUCCCAGUGGUAUCCUCAAAUAGUUGAAAGGAAGAGAUCCUAUUUUACAUUUGCAAAUGGCAGCCAAUCUAAAUAAUAAUUCUUCUUCCACUUCGAACCCCGCUAAGCAAGAUUUUUUAAAGUUAAUGCUUAACCUCGAAAAAAUCUCAAAAACGUUUAGAGUAUACUUCACGUUGGUCACCUCAUUUUCGUUAGCUUUUAGGAAAAGAAUAGUAUCAUCCGCAAAUUGAAGAUGAAAAAAGCGCAUAACAAGAAUAACAUUAUUAAAGCCCUCGAUCAAUCCCAACUCCGCAGCUUUGUCCAACGCCAAAUGAAAAACCUCUGUCACUAAAAUGAAUAAAAAUGGAGACAGUGGGUCUCUCUGUCGAAGUCCUCUAUGAAAUCUGAAUUCAUUGGAUGAAGAACCAUUAAUGAUAACUGCAGCUCUUGCCGUAGAUAAACAUUCCAACAUCCAACCUCUCCACUUUUCCCCAAACCCCAUUUUAGAUAACACCAACUGCAGAAAAUCCCAUCUAACGCAGUCGUAAGCUUUAGAAAAAUCUAAUUUAAAAAUCAACUUACCCCCAGAACCACCUUUCUUCAAAACCGAAUGGAUUAAUUCAUUUGCAAUUAAAACCCCAUCAAAUAUUUGUCUACCCUUAAUGAAGGCACUUUGUGUAUCACUAACCACCUCCUCUACAAGCUCCCUUAAUCUUAGUGACAAAACCUUGGACACAAUCUUGUAAAGAGAGCUCACCAAGCAAAUUGGCCUAAACUCUGAAAUUUCAGUAGGAUUUUCCACCUUUGGGAUAAGAGUGCUAAAUUAAAAAUUAAUGCUCUUCUAAGUUUCCUGGAUGUGAAAAAAUCAGACAUCACAUCAAAUAAAUCAUGCUUCAUGAUCUCCCAACACUUUAUAAAAAAACACAAAUUAAACCCUUCUGGCCUAGGCGCUUUCGAUUCAUCACAACUCACACAGCUUCUUUGAUUUCUUCCAUAAAAAAAGGGCUCCUCCAAUUUCAUAGCUUUUUCUUCGUUAAGCAAUCUGAAUUUCAAAUCUAACCCCAUUUUCCACCUUCUUGCAGAGCUGUCAAAAUAAUUAUUAAAAUAAUUGAAUAGCCCCCCUUUUAUUUCCUUAGGGUCCUUAAUAUUCUGGCCCCCAAUUUUUAAAUUAAACACCAAUUUUCUUUUAGCUUUGAUUUUCACCGACCUGUGGAAAAAAACACUAUUAGUAUCCCCUCCUUUUAACCAAGUCAUCCUCGAUUUUCGUCCCAAAUUGAUUCUUAUUUUUAUUGCUUCCCAAAUCUCAAUGUUCAACUGUUUUAACUCCUCAAUCUCCACUUCGGCUAGCUUCCUUUUUUUGCUUACAUCAUCAAUCUCCUUAAUUCUAGCCUCGCUUCCGAUGAUUCUUUUUUCCAGAAUAUUUCCAUCAUUAACAUUCCACUUCCUAAGAGCUCACUUUAAUUUUCUCAAUUUGGCAGCCGUUUUACCUCUCAGACCAUCCAUUCCCGACCAUUCCUAUUCAAUCAACUUCAUACAUCCAUCCUUUUUAAACCAAGCAUUGACAAACUUAAAAGGCCGAGGUCCCCAGUCUACAGAUUCAUUCACCAAUAUCACUGGAAUAUGAUCAAAUACAGAUCUGUUAAGUCCCUGCUGUUGUAAAUCCUUAAACUGAACCACCCAGUCUUCUUUUAUUAAAAAUCUAUCCAUUUAGCUAGAGCAAACCAGGUGAAUUUUUUUCCUAUUAAUGGUAAGUUGACUAACUUACAACUUUCUAUGAACUUGCCACACUCCUUUGACUCCUUUUCUGUGCUCGAGUAAUUUGUGCGUUCACUACAGUUUCUCACCACAUUAAAAUCUCCACCAAUGAUCCAUGCUUUACAAAAUUGAUUUCUCAAACCAGAAAUUUCUUCCCACAUCAUUUUUUAUUCUGCAAGGCUGUUCGAAGCAUAAACAUUAAUUAAAGUCAUCUCAUUCUCUUCGACUACCCAUUUUCUUGCUACUAGAAUGAUCCUCCUCUCAUACAAAUCAACUUUUGUUGAGAAACGACCCUUAUCCCAGAUUGUUAAUAAACCCCCUGACCUUUCUACAGCAGCUGCGUUUUUUAAACCAAAGCAAUCAUCACCCCAAAAUUUUCUAACUAACUUCAUUAACACCGAUUCUAAUUUACUUUCUUGAAUUAAACAAACAUUGGCUCUAUUCAUUCUCACUACACCAUUGAAAGCCUCAAUUUUGGGAGCUGAACCCAACCCUCUAAUGUUCCACGUAAUAAUUCUCAUACUCCUUAACAAUAUAGAAUAAUCAAAAGAUAACAACACGAAAACAAACACAUACCAGUAUCCCGAACUCUAUCAACCCCCAGCCUAGAGUGCUCCCUAUUGCUUUCCAUCGAUCCUCAUAAUUUCUUCAACAAUUAUCUCAUCGUCUCCUUGCACAUUGAAACCCAACCUUUUCCCUACCUCCUACGUCUUUUUCGCUUCUCUGAGGAGAACUCUUCUGCUAUUGCUGAUAUCGGAAUCCGAAAGUGAUAAAUUUGCAAUACUGUCGUUGAUUCUCAAAAUCCCCUUUCCGUUCUGUUUUCUUAGCCCUCUGUCUCUCUUCUUCUUCUCCUUCGUUGUGAGUGUUGUAUCUUGAAUCUUGCGCAUAGAUCUAAUUUUCUUGUUUAGAGCUUUCUUCUUUCUUUUACUCUGCCUAAUUUGGAAAAUUUCCUUUUUCAAUCUCUGAUGUAGAAACCCGAUCCCUAUGGCUCUCUGGAUUAGAUAAAUAGCCUGAUUUUGUUUUAACUUUGGGCUUACUUCGAAAUCUGCACUCAUUAAUUCAAUUUUAUUAUACCUAUCUGCAUUGGCCCCUAAACAUUAAUUCUCUGCCUCUUCAUUUGAUCCCAGGCUCGCUCCAAAGACAUCUGCACAUUGGGUCUCCAAUCCAUUAAUCUGCUCCAUACCCAACCCAAGGCUCUUAUUGUUUAAAUCUGUAAAAACGUGGACAAGUAACGUAGCAUUUGUCUCCCCUACUACAGGAACACUCAACACGUUGCGUAGUGAAUUGGGUUCCUC